GGUUGUGAGGAUGAUUCCACUGCAACAUCUGUCAACCCUUUGAUCACAGGGUUGAUUGAUUCUGCUGAUCUGGCUAGCUCAGCAGAUGUUCCUUUCCUUCAUCACCUCUCCACGAGCCUGGGUUUAUCCCCAAGCUGCAGGCUCAGAGGACAAGUAUGAUGACCCUCCAUAAAUAUAAGCGGACCAGUCUAUGGUCCACCUGCUAAAACCUCCAAACAGACUCUCAAGAAUUUUUUUUUUUUGGUUUUCGAGACAGGGUUUCUCUGUAUAGCCCUGGCUGUCCUGGAACUCACUUUGUAGACCAAGGCUG
rnacentral:snRNA from 1 species